UACGGAGGUCUCAAGCGUUGUUCGGAUUCAUUGGGCGUAAAGGGUGCGUAGGUGGCGCCGUAAGUCGGGUGUGAAAUUUCGGAGCUUAAACUCCGAAACUGCAUUCGAUACUGCGGUGCUUGAGGACUGGAGAGGAGACUGGAAUUCAUGGUGUAGCAGUGAAAUGCGUAGAGAUCAUGAGGAAGACCAGUGGCGAAGGCGGGUCUCUGGACAGUUCCUGACACUGAGGCACGAAGGCCAGGGGAGCAAACGGG
rnacentral:rRNA from 1 species